CGGGACGGGUGAGUAACACGUGGGUAACCUGCCUCAAACAGGGGGAUAGCCUUCCGAAAGGAAGAUUAAUACCGCAUAACAUCAAAUUACCGCAUGGUAGUUUGAUCAAAGGAGUAAUUCGGUUUGAGAUGGACCCGCGGCGCAUUAGCUAGUUGGUGAGGUAACGGCUCACCAAGGCGACGAUGCGUAGCCGACCUGAGAGGGUGAUCGGCCACAUUGGAACUGAGAUACGGUCCAA
rnacentral:rRNA from 1 species